rnacentral:rRNA from 1 species
GAUGAACGCUGGCGGCGUGCCUAAUACAUGCAAGUCGAGCGAACAGAUGAGGAGCUUGCUCCUCUGACGUUAGCGGCGGACGGGUGAGUAACACGUGGAUAACCUACCUAUAAGACUGGGAUAACUUCGGGAAACCGGAGCUAAUACCGGAUAAUAUAUUGAACCGCAUGGUUCGAUAGUGAAAGACGGUUUUGCUGUCACUUAUAGAUGGAUCCGCGCCGCAUUAGCUAGUUGGUAAGGUAACGGCUUACCAAGGCAACGAUGCGUAGCCGACCUGAGAGGGUGAUCGGCCACACUGGAACUGAGACACGGUCCAGACUCCUACGGGAGGCAGCAAUAGGGAAUCUUCCGCAAUGGGCGAAAGCCUGACGGAGCAACGCCGCGUGAGUGAUGAAGGUCUUCGGAUCGUAAAACUCUGUUAUUAGGGAAGAACAAAUGUGUAAGUAACUAUGCACGUCUUGACGGUACCUAAUCAGAAAGCCACGGCUAACUACGUG